rnacentral:rRNA from 1 species
GACGUAGGGCGCGAGCGUUGUCCGGAUUUAUUGGGCGUAAAGAGCUCGUAGGCGGCUUGUCGCGUCGACUGUGAAAACCCGCGGCUCAACUGCGGGAUUGCAGUCGAUACGGGCAGGCUAGAGUUUGGUAGGGGAGACUGGAAUUCCUGGUGUAGCGGUGAAAUGCGCAGAUAUCAGGAGGAACACCGGUGGCGAAGGCGGGUCUCUGGGCCGAUACUGACGCUGAGGAGCGAAAGCGUGGGGAGCGAACAGG